rnacentral:rRNA from 1 species
UUCGAAGGGACCUAGCGUAGUUCGGAAUUACUGGGCUUAAAGAGUUCGUAGGUGGUUGAAAAAGUUGGUGGUGAAAUCCCAGAGCUUAACUCUGGAACUGCCAUCAAAACUUUUCAGCUAGAGUAUGAUAGAGGAAAGCAGAAUUUCUAGUGUAGAGGUGAAAUUCGUAGAUAUUAGAAAGAAUACCAAUUGCGAAGGCAGCUUUCUGGAUCAUUACUGACACUGAGGAACGAAAGCAUGGGUAGCGAAGAGGAUUAGAUACCCUCGUAGUCCAUGCCGUAAACGAUGUGUGUUAGACGUUGGAAAUUUAUUUUCAGUGUCGCAGCGAAAGCGAUAAACACACCGCCUGGGGAGUACGACCGCAAGGUUAAAACUCAAAUGAAUUGACGGGGACCCGCACAAGUAGUGGAGCAUGUGGUUUAAUUCGAAGAUACGCGCAGAACCUUACCAACACUUGACAUGUUCGUCGCGACUCUAAGAGAUUAGAGUUUUCGGUUCGGCCGGACGAAACACAGGUGCUGCAUGGCUGUCGUCAGCUCGUGUCGUGAGAUGUUGGGUUAAGUCCCGCAACGAGCGCAACCCUCACUUUUAGUUGCCAUCAUUAAGUUGGGCACUCUGAAAGAACUGCCAGUGAUAAGCUGGAGGAAGGUGGGGAUGACGUCAAGUCCUCAUGGCCCUUACGUGUUGGGCUACACACGUGCUACAAUGGUAUCUACAACAGGAAGCAAGACUGCGAAGUUAAGCAAAUCCCUAAAAGAUACCUCAGUUCGGAUUGCACUCUGCAACUCGAGUGCAUGAAGCUGGAAUUACUAGUAAUCGUGGAUCAGCGUGCCACGGUGAAUGCGUUCCCGGGUCU